UGAGGAAUAUUGGUCAAUGGACGGAAGUCUGAACCAGCCAUGCCGCGUGAAGGAUGAAGGCGUUCUGCGUUGUAAACUUCUUUUAUCUGGGAAGAAACCACCUUUUUCUAAGGGUGUUGACGGUACCAGAGGAAUAAGCACCGGCUAACUCCGUGCCAGCAGCCGCGGUAAUACGGAGGGUGCAAGCGUUAUCCGGAUUUACUGGGUUUAAAGGGUGUGUAGGCGGACAUUUAAGUCUGGGGUGAAAUCUCCGAGCUCAACUCGGAAACUGCCUUGGAUACUAUUUGUCUUGAAUUAUGUUGAGGUAGGCGGAAUAUAACAUGUAGCGGUGAAAUGCAUAGAUAUGUUAUAGAACACCGAUUGCGAAGGCAGCUUACUAAGCAUAUAUUGACGCUGAGGCACGAAAGCGUGGGUAGCGAACAGG
rnacentral:rRNA from 1 species